rnacentral:other from 1 species
AACACCCUGCUGUGUUUGUUAGAGGGAUAAAAAAUUGAACCUAAAAUGUAAAUCGGGAUGCCAAACAUCUAAAUUGCCCUUGGGCUUUUAGCACGGUACCCACUUGGUGACUGGUUCACCAUUUUAUAUCUUUCGACGGCAUAAGCGGGGUUGUU